rnacentral:lncRNA from 1 species
CCCGGGAGCGACCCGAGGGCAACAAUCCACCCCAAGUUUCCAGGGCAGGUGGCCAAGCCCGGAGGCGGGGGCGGGACGCUCACCUGCGCGCGCGCGCACUAGCAGCGCGACGGGCUCGGAGAGCGCUCACCUGAGCGCACGCGCCGGCAGGGGGCGCGGCUGUGCGUGGUCUGCGUGCAGGCGCGCGGGUAGAGUGUGUGGGGCUGGGGGCUGCGGAAGCGGGUGGUUCGCUGCUCUGUACCCGGCGGAGCUGACAGCCGUGCGCCCGCCGCGCCUCAUCUUCCCUGGAGCGUCCUCUCAGUGACCCCAGAAGACCCCUUCACUCUGAACACCAAGUCCACGGAAGGCAGGGUCUCUGAGAGUCAUCUGUAAAUGCUUCCCAUUCUGCACUCAGUCAGGAUUUGCUGAACGGAAAGAUGGACAGAUACGUAUUGCUUUUUUAGUCUCUUUAGGAUGCUUUUUGGAACAAGGGGGACCUGGAUAUAUUUUUGUGGGAGGCUGUGGAGGAAAGUCUUUCCAAAGUCCAGCCUGUCAACUCCCUGGUUGAUGUUUUUGCCAUCAUGCAUAGCACAUAGAAGGAGCUCGAUAACUAACCGUUGGAUAAAUAACAUUCGUUUUUAUAGACGAAUCUGUGUUCUGAGAAGGAUGACAGGGAUCUUAUAUCUUCCAUCACAUCUUGCAUAAGGUACAAGAUGGCAUAAGAUGCAUUAAAAAUAAAAGUUUUCAAAUAUGUUUAAUUUUUGAUAAAUCAAUCAACUACACAAGUAAGGGAGGAGUAAAUAAGGUAAGCUGAGUUAGAGCCCAGUGAAAAUUUGAUGGAUUUAUCUAAUUUUAGUGUAGUGUAUGUUGUUGGCAUUUUUGUAGAAAAGAUUAGGAACCAAUGCUCUGACCUCUCUGUUGCCUUGGUUAGAAGUGUAAAAUCUGGUUAUUCCACCUUCUUCCAGGAACCCUUGAACAGACAUUACACAUAUGGUAGAAGGUUACAAGGCAGGAGCCCUUUUCUGAGGAAACCCCCGAAUGUUCAACCAAAGCAAGGAACACCAGUAGCAGAUGCCAUUGGUGUGUUAAGGAGAAAUUUUCCGAAAAGAGAGGGAACAAUCAUUGAUAGACAUGACUUGAAGAUGCAUGGAGUGGGAUAA